rnacentral:rRNA from 1 species
GACGAACGCUGGCGGCGUGCUUAACACAUGCAAGUGGAGCGACGAACCGAGGCUUGCCUCGGGGCAAAGCCGCGAACGGGUGAGUAACACGUGGGUAAUCUGCCCUGUUGAUUGGGACAACCCCGGGAAACCGGGGCUAAUACCAAAUGUGCUCUUUCCACAUCAGUGGAUCGAGGAAAGGAGGCUUCGGCUUCCGCAACGGGAUGAGCCCGCGGCCCAUUAGCUUGUUGGUGGGGUAACGGCCACCAAGGCUCCGAUGGGUAGCUGGUCUGAGAGGACGAUCAGCCACACUGGGACUGAGACACGGCCCAGACUCCUACGGGAGGCAGCAGGU